AUUAUGUAUAACACGAUAUAAAUAAUUUAAGGACAUAAGAAAUUAAAAUUUCAAGUGCCAAUAUUGAUUAUUUUUCCAGUUUUAUUCAAAUAUAUUGAAAUUAAUAUGGAAACAAAAGUUCAUAAAUAUUAGUUUGAAAAGCCAUGUCAGAAGAGUAGGAUUAAAGACAAAGUAUUAAGAGUAAUUGGGCUGUUCCUGAACAAUAUUGAAUAUAAAUAUUCAAAAAUAUGAUAAACUGCAUAUCCUACUAAGUAGAUCAAUACCAAAAUUCCAUUAGAGAAAUAAGUUAAAAUUAUGUUUUACUUGUAUAAUUUUCUUGCUAUUUGUCCACCAUUAUUUGUGACUUAGAAAUUAAAUAGUCAAAAAGAA